rnacentral:rRNA from 1 species
CAGGGGAUGCAAGCGUUACUCGGAAUUACUGGGCGUAAAGCGUCUGCAGGCUUCUUUCCACGUCUGGUGUAAAAGCACGAAGCUCAACUCCGUGUACGUGCCGGAAACGAGAGAGAUAGAGUCACUCAGAGGCAUCUGGAAUGUCGUGUGUAGGGGUAAAAUCCGUAGAUCCACGAUGGAACGCCAAAAGCGAAGGCAGGAUGCUGGGGGUGUACUGACGCUCAGAGACGAAAGCGUGGGGAGCAAAGGGGAUUAGAUACCCCCGUAGUCCACGCCCUAAACUAUGCGGGCUCGGUGUUGGGAUUUUCAAUUGAUCUCAGUGCCCAAGUUAACACGGUAAGCCCGCCGCCUGGGAAGUACGGCCGCAAGGCUA